GGGAGGGCGGGCGAGAGGAGAGGACCCAUUACCCGGCACCGGACAGGCCGGACAGAGGGCCCGCCGCAGAAGGCAGAGCUGCCGAGAUCUCAGUCGGAAAGAGCGAUUUCUGCGGGCCCCGCGGGGCCGCGCUCCGGGCACCCUCCACUGCGCGCCCGCUCCCUCCAUCCACCUGCCGCCAGGGGUCUGGCCGUCGAAGCGCGCAUCCGCAGGCUCGGGUCAGUUCCCGGCCUUCGAGGGCGCCGCCGCCUCCAUCUUCGCCUCUGCGGCGUCCGCAGUCGCAGACGCCCGGGCGGGACCCCGGCGUGAGCACCAGGCGCCCCCCUAGGAGUGCACGACCCCCGGAGCCGCCCUCGAUACGGACCGCGCCCGCCGGGCACACAAGAAUGGUCACUAUACUGGGGGCCAUGGAGUCUCAGGUUGGGGGGGGGCCGGCCGGCCCGGCCCUGCCCAACGGGCCACUCCUUGGGACAAACGGAGCCACUGACGACAGCAAGACCAACCUCAUCGUCAACUACCUACCCCAGAACAUGACG
rnacentral:lncRNA from 1 species